rnacentral:rRNA from 1 species
UACGUAGGCAGCGAGCGUUGUUCGGAAUUACUGGGCGUAAAGGGCGCGUAGGCGGCCAUCUAAGUCAGACGUGAAAUCCCCCGGCUUAACCCGGGAACUGCGUCCGAUACUGGAAGGCUUGAAUCCGGGAGAGGGAUGCGGAAUUCCAGGUGUAGCGGUGAAAUGCGUAGAUAUCUGGAGGAACACCGGUGGCGAAGGCGGGUCUCUGGGCAGUAACUGACGCUGAGGAGCGAAAGCGUGGGGAGCGAACAGG